rnacentral:rRNA from 1 species
AUUGAACGCUGGCGGCAUGCCUUACACAUGCAAGUCGAACGGUAACGGGCCUUCGGGUGCCGACGAGUGGCGAACGGGUGAGUAAUGCAUCGGAACGUACCUUUCAGUGGGGGAUAACGUAGCGAAAGUUACGCUAAUACCGCAUAUUCUGUGAGCAAGAAAGCAGGGGAUCGCAAGACCUUGCGCUGAUUGAGCGGCCGAUGUCAGAUUAGCUAGUUGGUGAGGUAAAGGCUCAUCAAGGCGACGAUCUGUAGCGGGUCUGAGAGGAUGAUCCGCCACACUGGGACUGAGACACGGCCCAGACUCCUACGGGAGGCAGCAGUGGGGAAUUUUGGACAAUGGGGGCAACCCUGAUCCAGCCAUGCCGCGUGAGUGAAGAGGGCCUUCGGGUUGUAAAGCUCUUUCGGCCGGGAAGAAAUCGCACAGGCUAAUACCUUGUGUGGAUGACGGUACCGGAAUAAGAAGCACCGGCUAACUACGUGCCAGCCGCCGCAGUAAAAC